rnacentral:rRNA from 1 species
UACGAAGGGGGGCUAGCGUUGCUCGGAAUGACUGGGCGUAAAGGGCGCGUAGGCGGUUCGUACAGUCAGACGUGAAAUUCCCGGGCUCAACCUGGGGGCUGCGUUUGAUACGUGCGGGCUUGAGUUCGGAAGAGGGUCGUGGAAUUCCCAGUGUAGAGGUGAAAUUCGUAGAUAUUGGGAAGACACCGGUGGCGAAAGGCGGCGACCUGGUCCGAUACUGACGCUGAGGCGCGAAAGCGUGGGGAGCAAACAGG